GCGUAAGCGCACGCAGGCGGUCUGUCAAGUCGGAUGUGAAAUCCCCGGGCUCAACCUGGGAACUGCAUUCGAAACUGGCAGGCUAGAGUCUUGUAGAGGGGGGUAGAAUUCCAGGUGUAGCGGUGAAAUGCGUAGAGAUCUGGAGGAAUACCGGUGGCGAAGGCGGCCCCCUGGACAAAGACUGACGCUCAGGUGCGAAAGCGUGGGGAGCAAACAGGAUUAGAUACCCUGGUAGUCCACGCCGUAAACGAUGUCGAUUUGGAGGUUGUGCCCUUGAGGCGUGGCUUCCGGAGCUAACGCGUUAAAUCGACCGCCUGGGGAGUACGGCCGCAAGGUUAAAACUCAAAUGAAUUGACGGGGGCCCGCACAAGCGGUGGAGCAUGUGGUUUAAUUCGAUGCAACGCGAAGAACCUUACCUGGUCUUGACAGCCGCAGAACUUACCAGAGAUGCUUUGGUGCCUUCGGGAACUGUGAGACAGGUGCUGCAUGGCUGUCGUCAGCUCGUGUUGUGAAAUGUUGGGUUAAGUCCCGCAACGAGCGCAACCCUUAUCCUUUGUUGCCAGCGGUUAGGCCG
rnacentral:rRNA from 1 species